rnacentral:tRNA from 1 species
GGGCAGGUACCCAAGUGGCCAAAGGGAGCUGACUGUAAAUCAGUUGUCGCACGACUUCGGGGGUUCGAAUCCCUCCCUGCCCA